rnacentral:rRNA from 1 species
ACUGCAGUCGAGCGAACUGAUUAGAAGCUUGCUUCUAUGACGUUAGCGGCGGACGCGGUGAGAAUAACACGUGGGCAACCUGCCUGUUAUAAGACUGGGAUAACUCCGGGACAUUAACGGAGCUAAUACCGGAUAACAUUUUUUCUUGCAUAAGAGAAAAUUGAAAGAUGGUUUCGGCUAUCACUUAAGAUGGGCCCGCGGUGCAUUAGCUAGUUGGUGAGGUAACGGCUCACCAAGGAACAACGAUGCAUAGCCGACCUGAGAGGGUGAUCGGCCACACUGGGACUGAGACACGGCCCAGACUCCUACGGGAGGCAG